UACGUAGGCAGCAAGCGUUGUUCGGAAUUACUGGGCGUAAAGAGUGUGUAGGCGGUGUUCUAAGUCUGUUGCGAAAUCUCCCGGCUUAACUGGGAGGGUGCGGCGGAAACUGGAAUGCUAGAGGAUGGGAGAGGUAAGCGGAAUUCCUGGUGUAGCGGUGAAAUGCGUAGAUAUCAGGAGGAACACCUGUGGUGUAGACAGCUUACUGGACCAUUUCUGACGCUGAGACACGAAAGCGUGGGUAGCAAACAGG
rnacentral:rRNA from 1 species